rnacentral:tRNA from 1 species
GCGGGAAUAGCUCAGUUGGUAGAGCAUAACCUUGCCAAGGUUAGGGUCGCGAGUUCGAGUCUCGUUUUCCGCU